rnacentral:rRNA from 2 species
GUCAACGGCCAUAGGAGAGAGGAAACACCUGUUCCCAUCCCGAACACAGAAGUUAAGCUUUCUCACGGUGUUGCUUGUACUGCCUUCUUGGGCGGAAACGCGCACUGCUGUUGACA